ACAGUCUCAGUUCGGAUUGAAGGCUGAAAUUCGCCUUCAUGAAGCCGGAAUUGCUAGUAAUGGCAGGUCAGCAUACUGCCGUGAAUACGUUCCCGGGCCUUGUACACACCGCCCGUCACACCAUGAGAGUUGGGAAUACCCGAAGCCUGUGAGCUAACUAUUAGAGGCAGCAGUCGAAGGUAGAAUCAAUGAUUGGGGUGAAGUCGUAACAAGGUACC
rnacentral:rRNA from 1 species